CGCGGGGUGGAGAAGUCCGGUAUCUCGCAGGGCUCAUAACCCUGAAAUCACAGGUUCAAAUCCUGUCCCCGCAACCA
rnacentral:tRNA from 1 species